UGGUCGGCAAACUGAUUCUUGAAGUCA
rnacentral:piRNA from 1 species